rnacentral:rRNA from 1 species
AUACGUAGGUGACAAGCGUUAUCCGGAUUUACUGGGCGUAAAGGGCGUGUAGGCGGUCUUGCAAGUCAGAAGUGAAAUUCCUGAGCUCAACUCGGGCGCUGCUUCUGAAACUGCAGGACUUGAGUGCUGGAGGGGAUAGCGGAAUUCCUAGUGGAGCGGCAAAAUGCGCAGAUAUUAGGAAGAACACCGGUGGCGAAGGCGGCUAUCUGGACAGUAACGGACGCUGAGGCGCGAAAGCGUGGGGAGCAAACAGGAUUAGAUACCCUGGUAGUCCACACUGUAAACGAUGAAUGCUAGGUGUAGGGGGUAUCGACCCCUUCUGUGCCGCAGUCAACACAAUAAGCAUUCCGCCUGGGGAGUACGGCCGCAAGGUUGAAACUCAAAUGAAUUGACGGGG